UGACCUUUCCAUUCGAUAAUAGGCAAAUUUAUUGAUACACAGUGGUAAUGAUGGGUACCCCUGAACUUUCACUAUGCAUUUUCUACUUCGGGAACAGCUUUGUAUGUUUUGAAAAGUAUUUUAUCUAACCAAGGGCAUAGAGUAGGUUGUUUAGGCUGGGAGAGAUCUCUUGUUGCUUAGUUGCUUAAUUGCUGGCCUCGCUAGAAGGAAAGCUGUAUCAACAAAGUCCGGAGCUGGAAGGGGGGUUACUUGAUGGGCUUGCUAUACAUUUCGUCACAUCAGCAAGUUUAACCUGUUACGUAGCUAUAUAAGGCAGACGCCCACUGAGGUGUGUGUGCUUGCUUUGCGAAUGAUUACCAAGCACCACUUUCUGCGCAGAAAUAAAGAUUAAGUUGGAUCCUUCAACCCUGUGUGUUUAUUGGCACAAGUGCACCGGGCACGCACUCACCGUUGUUUGGGGACAACAAUUUCUGGCGACUCAGAUGGGACCCUAGCUGACUGCCUUGCCCAGUCCACCUCUUCGGCUCCGGCAACAACUGUGGACGGCGCGAGGGCCAGGCGCCACCGACCUUAUUCGUCGGAGGUCUGACCGUCUCCUGGUUGCCUGACGGAGUCGGGGAGGGGCACAACGGCGCAACGCUCAAAGGACCAACUUAAUCAGGUGGGGCGAGGGAGGUUUCAAUGGACUGAUAUGUCCAGGAACGACUUCCACUCCCUCUAGAUACACCAGUCCACAAGUUCCAGAUCGGAGACAAGGUACUGGUCCGGGCGUGGAAAGACGAGCUGCUUCAGCCCAGGUGGAAGGGACCGUAUCCUGUGAUUCUUACUACUCACGCUGCAGUGAAGGUUCAGGGGGUAAAACCGUGAAUACACUACACCCGGGUGAAGGCCGUACCAGAAGUACCACCUGCAGGAGAAGUUGCUGAGAGUGUCGCACCAGAAGCCGACACAAACGGACACCGUUGGACAGCAGAACCAGUAGCAGGACUCAAAUUUCACUCAUUUUUGUUUGGCAGGUGGAAUAUCGGUUGAUGAUAUUUUCACGUCAUGCCUUAUAGGGGUGCCCACUCCAAUGGAAGCACUCCAGAAUACAGUCACCUCCCCUGGUAACACCAGGUGUGCCAAUUUUGUGAACUGUACCUAAGCUUGCAAAAGCCUAACCAAAGAAAUGAAAAUUUUCAAUUGCUCAGACAUGACUAAUGUAUCUUGCAACUACGUUCAUGUUAUAUUACCCCGGGGGUGGUUCCUCCUUUGUGGGAAGACUGCCUAUUCAUAUAUCCCAGCCAAUGCCACAGGAGGCCCUUGUGCUCUAGGCCGGUUGACUGUCUGGCUACCAGGUAUGCCUAAGAUCUCUAGUAAGCAUCACCGGAGAGGUUCGAAGGUGCUAGAUAAAUCCUGUGAUAGUGACAUAAACCUCCUGAGUGAGGCCGAGGUAGUGUCCUUAGCAGUUUUCCUAGUAGGGGUGCCAGGCCUAGUAGUGGAUGCUGAGAGGCAGCUUGGUAAGGUGGCCUGUGCCCUGGCAAAGGGCCUAAAUACAACUUCACAGGCCCUAGCUGCCCUCAAUAUUGAAAUGAAAGAACUAAGAGGAGCUACUCUGCAAAAUAGAGCAGCCAUAGAUUAACUGUUGCUGAGGCAUAACCACAGAUGUGAAGAGUUCGAGGGAAUGUGUUGUUUUAAUUUUGAAAGAUAACUCCGAGUUGAUAGAGUCAAAAGUGCAGAAGUUAAAAAAAAAAAAAAAAAAUUCUGUCCCACAUUAAGCAAGGGGAAGGGUUCGACUUCUCAUGGCUUACUUCUUGGCUUCCUAAUUUUUCAUGGCUUAAGCAAAUUUUCCUAUUAAUUGUGGCAAAUAUGUGUAUUUUCUUGACGAUCUGUUGUGGGAUACAGUGUGCGCCAAUGUGUUGUGAGAUACUCAAGAAAUCAAUUUCUUCCCCAGUUCACCGCGUGAUGUUUGUAAAAUCAUCAGUUACAAACCCGAUCCAAAACAAUCGGGAGGAAGCAAAAAGAUUUCUGGAGAUGAGACAGAUAGUCGAGAACUAUGGGCCUUUUCCAUAAGGGCCAUAGUCUCGAAGUGGGGAUUUGAUGGGUACCCCUGAACUUUCACUAUGCAUUUUCUACUUCGGGAACAGCUUUGUAUGUUUUGAAAAGUAUUUUAUCUAACCAAGGGCAUAGAGUAGGUUGUUUAGGCUGGGGAGAUUGCUUGUUGCUUAGUUGCUUAAUUGCUGGCCUUGCUAGAAGGAAAGCUGUAUCAACAAAGUCUGGAGCUGGAAGGGGGGUUACUUGGGGGGGAGCUGGAAGGGGGGUUACUUGAUGGGCUUGCUAUACAUUUCAUCACAUCAGCAAGUUUAACCUGUUACGUAGCUAUAUAAGGCAGACGCCCACUGAGGUGUGUGUGCUUGCUUUGCGAAUGAUUACCAAGCACCACUUUCUGCGCAGAAAUAAAGAUUAAGUUGGAUCCUUCAACCCUGUGUGUUUAUUGGCACAAGCGCACUGGGCACAAAAUCACCGUUGUUUGGGGACAACAGUAACAGAAAAAAAAAUACAAACAAUCAAGCAAUUCUGUAUAUCUACCAAAUUCUAGGGCUGUCAUCAGAGUCAAAGUACAUCCGGUCUGGAUGCAGGCUCCACUCUGAGGCUCAUUUUUUUAGGUGUCAGAUGUCAGCAGUCUGGAGGUGGGAUGCUGAGGCCCACACCCCCCUCCAGUGGGGUACAUGAGACGGGCCGCUGGUAUGCCCUUGGUCCAUGGUGGCCUCCAGGACCCUUCCCAGGGGAUGGGGACAGGGAUGGGGACCCCUCUCAAGGAGGAGGAGGAGGAGGAAACUGGGUAGGACAGGGAGGGGCUGAAAGGAAGAGAGUGAGGGACAGAAAAGAAUGGAAGGAGGAACAGGGAGGGACUCCUGUUACUCUCAAGUAUCUGCUUUUGUAUUCUCCUUCCCCCUCUGAUGACUCCUGAUGACACUUCACCCGUGGCUAUCUUUGAUUGAUUGUCUCUCUGUGGUCACACAUCCACGUAGCCUUCUGGGCGUAAUACUAAUUUGGUCUGUUCCCCCAAAACCGGGACUCAGGACCCCCCACUGCUCUGGGGCCUUGUAGCUGGUGUCACUUAUUUCAUAUUAUGGGUAGCAUGGUACAUACUCCUUUGGUUCCUAGACUUUGUGUCCUUGUUGUGUUAGACAACCAGUUUGCUGUGAAGGCUGUUAUCUUAUGCUAUGGGAUGACCCUUCAAUUCUUAGGCUAUGUGUGUAUCCAUUGGCUUUGUUGUGUUAGGCAGCCUGUCUACUUCCAAGGCUGGGUGAAACUCUGUGUGUAAGCCCCAAGCUCUUUGAAAUCAAUUAACCCCUGCUGCCCAUCUUGAACACUUAUAAUGCAUAUAUCUAUACCUAUAAACCAAUUCCCCAGAAAACAGACCUUUAAAUACCAUUUUCAAGCCAACCCAGUAGAAGUUGCACAGUAUGCUGUAAGUUCUGAGUGGAACUGCUUCAGUGAGGUGCUACUUGCUGCUGCUACUACCCUGAAGAAAUUGUUAUUUUUUUUCAAUUAGUGAUUCAAUUUUCUUCCUUUUAAUGGUGUUUGGUAAGCAGGUAUAAAAUAGCAAUAUUGGUUUCCUCCCCUAAAGGUGGUAGGUAUAGGGAUAACUUAGGAAACUAUGGCAAAAUUUCCAAUUUUCCCUCAAAAGCCUGGGAGCAAUGGCAGAGAGGGACCUUCACUGAAUUCAGGCUACCUCUAAGGAAGAUAAGAGGGAUGUGGAGAAUUUAUUCUUAGCUUUCCUUACUCUUACUUUUUAUUCAGCUAAGGCCCAAGCAAAGGAUUGUGUUCAACAACUACCUGUGCUAGAGGCCAAAGCAUAAUCUACCCUGUUGGGCACCUAAGAGCAAUCCUAUUGCAUUGUCCUGAAGUUUCUGAAAAAAAUAUUAAUACAGAAAGUGCUCACUGCUUUUGUGUUUUAAACUGAGAUGACAGUACAUUACGAGAAUGAAUGAAUUAAUAGAUUUUCAGGCACUCAACCAGAACAGAAUAGAAUCACACUAAGGUGCCCAAUAGGUAGAAUAGUAUCUUGUAGUUUGUUUAUCUUUAGUGCCAGCACGGAUUCCAGUUUUUAAAUAAUAGCUAUAUAUAUAUACUGAUUGACCCCAUUGGAGUGCUUGUAUUCUGUAGAAUUGGAAUGAUUUGUCCAUCCUUAUGAUACAUGCAUAUCUUAGGUGGGCAUCUCUUCUGUAAAAAAUGCCAUGUAUAUAUGCAUAUACUCACUGUUAUUACCAGUUUAGUGCUUAUCCAUGAAGUAAGUAAAUACAUAAACAAGUAAUUUAAUCAGAGGCAUUAGGAAAGACCAUUCUUAAAUAAAGGAAAAGGCUGUUAGAUUGUUAUCUGCUAUCAGAUUAUUAUUGCGCAUUUAUUCUAAACUAGCCUCUGUUAUAGGAUUCAUUAUGUUGCUUGUUAGAAAUGACAGCCUGACAGCUCUGUUGUUUCUCUGGGUCAGUUUCAUCUCCGUUAUUGAAUACUGAAACCUCAUUAACUUGCUGCUAGGCCUCCAGAACUUCAUGGAUUGCUGUCUACAUAUGUGAGUGUGCAAUAACAAGUACUUUCUCAUUGUUUGUACUGUUUAGGAAAGGCUGCUUUACCCAGGGAAAAGGGGCUUUGAUAUUCUAGGUGCCACAGUAGGUAUGAGAUUAAUGUAUGAGAGUCAUUGCCAGGGAUAUUUGACAUGCAUGGUAGUUUUGACUUUGUUAUGGAAAUUUGAUAUUUCUUUUCAUGUUGUUUCCAAAAUUGUGGCCUGUAGCUACUCUGCUUACUAGCUUUUUUCUUUUUUCAGUCUUGCACAAGAAGAUUAUUAGAGCACUAAACACUUCCAUUCAUAAGCACACCUUGCACAUCUAGCCCUAACAAGCUCUGAUUUAGAAGCACACAUGCUACAAAUGUCUGUUAGGCUUAUCCCAGAAUGUACAGUAUCCCCUAAAUCUGCAUUCAUACUCCAGGGUCACAGUUAUCAUUUUAUUAUUAUUGUAUUACCUUUAUAUUGCUUUAAUUAGUAAAAGAUUAUGAGAUUAGGCCUCCCUAUGGUGCCACUUCACAAAGAGUAGUCUUUACUCCCAAAGGGAUAUCCUUGUAGUACCUUAUCACAUUGAUACAUUGGCCUCUUCAAAUGCAGUCAAUAUACAAACACAUAUCUAGAUGAGGGAAGGUAUGCGUGCAUUAACAUAUCUAGCAGUUUGCUGGACUUUUCAUAUAUGUUUAAAUUGUGUAUUAUUGCUAUCUAGGUUACACUUAAAAUACUGGGGACUUGAUAUUUCUUUCCAUUAAUUUACAAAUGUAUAAUGGAGCAUAUGGUCUGGUGGCUUAACUGUGCAAAAGAUAAAUCAGCAAGCUACAUCAAGAGAUAUUUCAAGACUCAAACUUUUUUUACCAAAAAGCCUUACUUGCUUUUCUGUGAAGGCUGAACAAGAAGGGCUUUCCCAUGGACCUUAUUCAAUGUCAAUUUGAUGUUGGGUCCUGGGUUUUACAGGACAGUGUCUGUUUCAGAACUCUUUACCACCAUCCCAGGCAACAUCAUUCUUGGCAGUUUUGCUGUAAGCAUAAGACUAAUCUGGAGGUAUAGUUUUACAGUUUGUGUACCCCCAGUGAUGGAUCUUUACGGUUUAGGAUUGAGGCAUUUUUUUCAGAACAGAAUAGGAAAGCACAAACUUUGAAUUGUAUCUGUUUUGAGUACUUAGAGUACUUCAGUAUUCAAGGAUAUAAACCCACUGCCUGUCUUGUAAUUGGAAAGAAACAACCACCUGUUCACAUUUUGUUUUCUUAGUGAUGCAUACAAAUACAGAAUAAAAGAAACUGAGCUAAAUUAGCCUCAUUGCAUCAUUGUGCAAUUGUUAAAUAAGUAACUUGUGUUUAUUAGUUCUCUUACGAGACUUUCAAAAUGCUUGUGUUAGAGCCUAGCCUUCACUCUUAUUCAGUUAGUAAUAAUACUUUGAUAGUGCCAUGUCAGUGCUUUGUGGAGUCUUACAGGGUAAAGAAUAUCAAUGCAGUACUAAAAGUAGCCCUGAAAAAGCACUAAACAAGAACUACAGUGUUUAAAACUAGUGUGUGCAGAAAAUGCUUAAGGACUAUGAUAUUUAACAAACAUGGUUUUCUAAUUGUUUUUCAUAUUUCUAAACUGUGAAUAAAUUGGCACUCUUCAUAGUGAUGAACUUUCUUCCAAGAUUUCUGUAGAGGUAGUAAACAGCCUGCUUUAAUUAAUUUAGGGUGAAGUCAACAGGAGAUAUUGCAGAUAUUUCAGAUACAGUUGACAUCUGGUAUAAUGUAACAUGUUAUAUUAAAAUGAAAUUCUUAACUACUCUGAUUUAGUAAUUGAAUAAUAAAUAAUAUCUGUAUUAUUCCAAAAUAGCAAAGACCUUUUAUAAGUAAUUUACCUGUACAACAACCUCUGACUUAAGAAAAGUAUCAUUGUGGCCAUUUCACAGAUGAGAAAAUUGAAGCACAGAGAUUUUAAGGCCAGCAUUUCAAACGCAGAUGUCUAAAGUGGGGAAGCAAAGUGCCUAUGAUUCUUAAAGAUGCUGAGUACUACAUUUCCUAAUGAGAAAGUAAAGUCAAAGGCUGCUUCCUCCAACCAAAGCAACAAGGAUUGUCCAACCUCACUGUGAAGUUCUUCAGAAAACAGAAAUAGCGUGACAUACGAUUAACUAGGAGCAGUGGUGUAAUUAGGGUGGGGUACCUGCCUUUGGUGCCAGCGUAGGAAAGGGUGGGAGUGGAAAAAACCUGCUGCUGCUGCAGCCGUACAAUUGCAAUAGUGGCAGCAAGAAGUGGCCUCCUGGAGUGCCUCCAUGUGUUGUAGGUGUCCUGGGCACUCAGUUGCAUGGUUAUGCCUCUGGCUAUUUGCCCAGCCCAUCUGCUAAUAUCCCAUAUUUGUGGAGUUGAAAAUUUUGUUUGCCACCUCAUCUUGCCUUUUCACAAUAGCCAUUUUAUAAAUAUAGCAUGAGAGAGAAAGGAAAAGAGGAUGAAAUGUCAUGAUAAAUAUAUAUGGUAAAAGGGAUAGACACAGUAGGGAACAAAGACAUAUGGCAAUAUGAAUGAAGAACGAUAUUUAACAAAAGAAAUAAAUGGCAUAUGUAGUUUAGACACCUGAGUAGGGACAGUUUAGAUGAAGAUGAAAGAUAGGCAAAUUAAAACCUAAAAAUCAUUGGAAAUUGGAAUAGACUUCCUAGGCAGGGUUUAGAAGCAAAGGAAGAUAAGGAAAACCAGUACAAAGGAUGGAUCAUUAAUCAUUGGGAUUUCAAUUAGCUGAUAUUGACUGGACUGUCAAUUUAGAAUUGAUAACAAAAGGUGCCUCUUCCUGCAGGUAAUACAGGACUCUUUCCUGGUACAUCCUGAGAAUUAUCCAGUAGAAACAUUAGCUAUUAUAUACUUAGGCCCAAUGUUGCUGAGAAAUAAGACAAGGAAGAUAAAUAAGAUAGGAGUUGAGAGUCAUCUAAAAUCUAGUGAUCACAAUGUCAUCUGAAAUCCAAAUGCCCUUGAGGGCAUUUGGAGUAAUAUCUCAAAAUUACUAGACUUUAAAAUAUAGAUAUAUAAAAAUAGACCUUCAGUGAAUGGGGAGUGGAUUUGGGGUGAAGGAUGGAAGGUGUUGAUUAAAAUCAAUUUAUUUUUCAGAAAAUUCACUAUGAAAAACCAUUCUGAUGGCAGAAUAGCAGCCCUGAGUACUGACCCUUAACAUAUACCCCAUUUAAUGAGUAAUGCUUGCAUGAAUAGUGAAGAUAAGCUGGUUUUAGAAAUGAUUUGUAUGUUUUCUUGGAAAAUAUACCUGAUACACAAACCCUGUAAGGAAAUAUUUUGAUGGAUAUUCUCUGUCUUUCACUUUAAAAUGCUGUUUGCCUACUCUAAUGCCUGGAAGUGAGAUGUUUCAGUAAUAAUUUUGAGUGGUCAGUAGAUGUGAAAAAACCCAAAAAACAGAUCACAAUAAACAAUUCAGACCUCAAGAAUAAGAGCAAAAAGAAAGACAUGUUAAGACAAAUUUUCAGCAGUAACAUUAUCAAUACAAGGAUUAGGUUAGAUAUCCUUAAGACAAGGAGUGGGGACAAUUUUUUUUUGUUUCCUUUUACACAGUACCUUUCACAGUGGGCUUAUGAUCUGUGUCUGGGUUUCAUCGCAUCCCUGCAAUACUAAUAACUAUUAUUUGUUGUUCUACUUCCUGGAUUCUCAAAUUAUAUAAUUUUUGUAUUAAAAAUGUCUUGUUCCUGUUGAAGCUUUUAUGGACAUGAUGUGAUGCCAUAAAUGAUAUUAAGAUUUUAUAUGUUUAUUUGCUA